AAUAUGCCUUAUGGUGGGGGACAACAGUUGGAAGCGACUGCUAAUACCGCAUAAUGUCUACGGACCAAAGUGGGGGACCUUCGGGCCUCACGCCAUAAGAUUAGCCCAAGUGGGAUUAGCUAGUUGGUGAGGUAAUGGCUCACCAAGGCGACGAUCCCUAGCUGGUUUGAGAGGAUGAUCAGCCACACUGGGACUGAGACACGGCCCAGACUCCUACGGGAGGCAGCAGUGGGGAAUAUUGCACAAUGGGCGCAAGCCUGAUGCAGCCAUGCCGCGUGUGUGAAGAAGGCCUUCGGGUUGUAAAGCACUUUCAGUAAGGAGGAAAGGUUAAGUGUUAAUAGCACUUAGCUGUGACGUUACUUACAGAAGAAGCACCGGCUAACUCCGUGCCAGCAGCCGCGGUAAUACGGAGGGUGCGAGCGU
rnacentral:rRNA from 1 species